rnacentral:rRNA from 1 species
UUUGGCUAGUGGGAAUUUAUCUCCCACACCCCUGUGACAUACCAAAUUGUUGCCUCGGCGGAUCAGCCCGCUCCCGGUAAAACGGGCCGGCCCGCCAGAGGACCCCUAAACUCUGUUUCUAUAUGUAACUUCUGAGUAAAACCAUAAAUAAAUCAAAACUUUCAACAACGGAUCUCUUGGUUCUGGCAUCGAUGAAGAACGCAGCAAAAUGCGAUAAGUAAUGUGAAUUGCAGAAUUCAGUGAAUCAUCGAAUCUUUGAACGCACAUUGCGCCCGCCAGUAUUCUGGCGGGCAUGCCUGUUCGAGCGUCAUUUCAACCCUCAAGCCCCCGGGUUUGGUGUUGGGGAUCGGCGAGCCCUUGCGGCAAGCCGGCCCCGAAAUCUAGUGGCGGUCUCGCUGCAGCUUCCAUUGCGUAGUAGUAAAACCCUCGCAACUGGUACGCGGCGCGGCCAAGCCGUUAAACCCCCAACUUCUGAAUGUUGACCUCGGAUCAGGUAGGAAUACCCGCUGAACUUAAGCAUAUCAAUAAGCGGAGGAA